rnacentral:lncRNA from 1 species
GAUCGGCCUGGGUUUAGUUUCCAUACGGACGGACGUCCCAAAAUUAGCAGUGCACGGGGAAUGUCAAGCCUCCUCAUGCAAGGUGGCUGUGCAAAUAUGCAUCGCCAGUGAAGAGGUACAGGAGAGUACUGCCGAAACGGCUCUUUAUCUUGAGUAUGGGACAGUGUUUAUUCGGCUAGAAUUUGGCAAAAGCAGGUGGCCAGCAUCCGGGGGCAUAAGGUUCCUCCUUUACCCGUCAUUACCAGGCAUAAGCCUUUCCUCCUUUUUGUUCCGCUUUGCUUUACACGCUCCACACCUUCUUCUUUCGGAUCGCCUUUUAGGCCCCGCGCCUUUCCAUGGGCUAGUGUUAGUUUUGGCUCAUAUACAUAACCAGGCACUGUUGUUAUUGCAGGGUAAUGGGGCUUGCACUACCGAAUAUUGCUCCUAGCCUGAUUCCCACAAACCUGUCCUAUAACCUUCUAGUGCAUUUUACUACAAUUUUAUUUCCAAGAAGGACAUUUUACACCCAAUUUCUGUUUAUUUUAAACAUUUUUUUUGUUUGUAGAAUACGAUACUAGAAGGAUAUUUGCAAUGUCAGAAAAUUGGCGGGUUUCGUGCUGGAAUAUUGAUCAUGAUGUUGCUUCUGGUUAACUCCACACUAUUUAGACUAAGACAGAUUUAGUACAGGCAAAAUCGCGCCCUCAGAUCCUGUCCUCUUCACUUUUAUGCGAUCAAGGCUCUUUUCUGGAUAGGGCUAGGUGCUCAUGUGCAUCUGUUACUGCUGGCCGCCCAUGUCAGUACGAAGCAUGCACGCCUUUGUUUCCAAAAAAGUUUUGGGAAAACCAUUCCUGCUGCUGCACUGUUUCGGGGAGUUCGUUAUCACCAUUCAUCGUCACUCU